GAAAAUUAAUAAAUAAAUAGAGGACAAGUUUUGUCUUGUUCAAAAUACAACUGUGGCCUGCCCAGUUAACAAAGACAACAAUCUAAAUCAAUGCCAAAGCCCCACUACAUGGACCAGUUUAUCUAUUAUAAUGCUUGAAUACCAUGUAGCAUACAACCCAGCACUGGGGAACGUCUGAAAUCCUAAUCAUCCUUCAAUGUCACAACUCGGUGAUCAUGCUUCUUUUAGGUCAUCCUAGUGACAAUAAAGUUUGAUUGAUGAAUCUGCGCCAGCAGUGAAUAACCAAGGUUGCCGAGGAUGGAACUUACAAUCCAUUAUUCCUACAACAUAUUGAAAAUUAGAACAGUAUCAAUUUCAUCUCAGAAGUACACAAAAAAAAAAAUUUACUUAUUCAGUAAUUAUGUAAACACUGCAGCACAGAUGCCCAAGCUUAGUUCACUGCACAAGAAGUUUCUCCACAGGUAAAAAAGCCCCAUGCAUCUGGAAGACUCACCUCUUCCAUUUGAGCUUGAAUGUCCACGGAGAAUUUCCAGUGGAACGAUAAGAGGGUUCUGAUUAAGAUCAGAAUAAACCAUGCCAUGAAAAACAUAUGCUGUGCAAUCAUCAGAGCAUGAUGCAAAUAGCGGGUAUGAACGAUGGAACACCACGCUUGUUAUAUCUUUCGGAUGACACCUGAGAAGCCCCAAAAUCACACAUCAGAUGAAGAACAAAAGAAAAAAGACAUGAGCCAAGAUAUAUCCCUUAUCAGCUACAACACGCGUAUGGAACAUCAAAAGGAAGAGAUAUUACAUGGAUAGAAAUUAUCUAUGCAUACAUCAUUAUGUGUAAGAUUUCUUCCAUCUGUAAUAGUGCUUGAAAUCAGAAACAACAAAAUAUCUAUCUAACAUUCAGUUAGUUAAGCAAGGCAUUCCACUUGACAGAUUUUGCAUGGUUCAAAAUUAUUUCCUCAAGGGUAAAAUAUUGUAAGUAUAGUUAAUUACAAUAUACUUAAAGAAAGUUAAUUAAUGAAAAAUAACAUUGAUCUAAUAAUAUUUGAAAAUUUAAGAAUUUUAAAAAAAUUACAUACUUAAGAAUUUUGUAAGGCUUAGAUGAAAGGUCCAUAUCAAACCAACAUAAUUUUCCCUCCUUGCUUCCCACAAUUACAUUAUCACCUGCAUCGAAGACAAUCCUCAGAUAUGAGACAAGUGGAAAACAAGGAACAAAUACAAGCUGUGAAAAUCAAUGAAGAAGAACAGGAGUACAACCAGCAAUAUGAACUGCAAUGGAGGAAACUUCACGGAGUCCCAUCUCAAGCUUCUUAAUCAGCUUGUGCUUCAACAAAUGAUAAACACGAACAUUCUUCUUUGUUGCAACGAAGAACACAGAAUGACUAGGAUGAAAAACUGAUGAUACUGGAAGCCCACGCAGCUUAAAUGGAAGUCUUUGUGUAAGCUUCUUAGAAAGCUGGUGUAUAAGAACUGCUUUUGAUUCCCCAGCUGGCAUCACAGUACAGAAAUAGUCCCCUUUACGAUGCCAUUGUACC
rnacentral:misc_RNA from 1 species